rnacentral:rRNA from 1 species
AGUAACACGUGGGUGACCCGCCUUCGAGUGGGGGAUAACCUUCCGAAAGGAGGGCUAAUACCGCAUGACAUGCCGUGUUUGGAUACAUGGACAUCAAAGCCGGGGAUCGUAAGACCUGGCGCUUGAAGAGGGGCUCGCGUCCGAUUAGUUUGUUGGUGAGGUAACGGCUCACCAAGGCUUCGAUCGGUAUCCGGCCUGAGAGGGCGGACGGACACACUGGAACUGAGACACGGUCCAG